UACGAAGGGUGCAAGCGUUACUCGGAAUUACUGGGCGUAAAGCGUGCGUAGGUGGUGAGUUAAGUCUGUCGUGAAAGCCCCGGGCUCAACCUGGGAAUGGCGAUGGAUACUGGCUCGCUAGAGUGCGGUAGAGGAGAGUGGAAUUCCCGGUGUAGCAGUGAAAUGCGUAGAUAUCAGGAGGAACACCAAUGGCGAAGGCAGCUCGCUGGGACGGUACUGACGCUGAGACGCGAAAGCGUGGGGAGCAAACAGG
rnacentral:rRNA from 1 species